rnacentral:rRNA from 1 species
AUUGAACGCUGGCGGCAUGCUUUACACAUGCAAGUCGAACGGCAGCACAGGGAGCUUGCUCCCGGGUGGCGAGUGGCGCACGGGUGAGUAAUACAUCGGAACGUGUCCUGUUGUGGGGGAUAACUGCUCGAAAGGGUGGCUAAUACCGCAUGAGACCUGAGGGUGAAAGCGGGGGAUCGCAAGACCUCGCGCAAUUGGAGCGGCCGAUGCCCGAUUAGCUAGUUGGUGAGGUAAAGGCUCACCAAGGCGACGAUCGGUAGCUGGUCUGAGAGGACGACCAGCCACACUGGGACUGAGACACGGCCCAGACUCCUACGGGAGGCAGCAGUGGGGAAUUUUGGACAAUGGGGGGCAACCCUGAUCCAGCCAUGCCGCGUGCAGGAUGAAGGCCUUCGGGUUGU